AACGAACGCUGGCGGCAUGCCUAACACAUGCAAGUCGAACGAGACCUUCGGGUCUAGUGGCGCACGGGUGCGUAACGCGUGGGAACCUGCCCUUAGGUUCGGAAUAACUCCCCGAAAGGGGUGCUAAUACCGGAUAAUGUCUUCGGACCAAAGAUUUAUCGCCUUUGGAUGGGCCCGCGUUGGAUUAGCUAGUUGGUAGGGUAAAAGCCUACCAAGGCGACGAUCCAUAGCUGGUCUGAGAGGAUGAUCAGCCACACUGGGACUGAGACACGGCCCAGACUCCUACGGGAGGCAGCAGUGGGGAAUAUUGGACAAUGGGCGAAAGGCUGAUCCAGCAAAGCCGCGUGAGUGAUGAAGGCCUUAGGGUUGUAAAGCUCUUUUACCCGGGAUGAUAAUGACAGUACCGGGAGAAUAAGCUCCGGCUAACUCCGUG
rnacentral:rRNA from 1 species